rnacentral:lncRNA from 1 species
GCACUUGCUUUUUAGGCAAAACAAUGAAUGAUGCAAUCUGAAGCUGGUAUUGCGUCAUACAUUAUAUGAAUUGCUCCAUGUUAUUCCUAGAAGUCAUGGAUGAUGCAAUCAUAACAAAGCUUACAUCACUCUGCUGAACAAAUUGCCCUAUAUCAGCUCUAGAAAUCAUACAGUGUCGUGCUCUCUUAUUUGUCAGUGUUUGAUUUUGCAAAGGGACACAUUUCUGUUUAGCCAAAGUGAGCAGAAAUGCCUCGUACUUGUGUGAACAGUGCAGAUAACUUCUGCUAUGUUUGUGGUGAAGUGACUUUUGCAUCACAAAAGCACAGUAUAACCACUAUGGUUAAUAAAGCCUAUCACCUUUAUUUUGGCUGCAAAAUUGGAGAUCAGGACAAGAGGUGGGCCCCACACAUAUGCUGCAACACUUGUGCAACAAAUCUUCGCCAGUGGUUGAACAGGAAAAGGAAAUCUAUGCCUUUUGCAGUGCCAAUGAUUUGGAGAGAGCCAACAGAUCAUACCAGCAAUUGUUACUUCUGCAUGGUGCCUUCAGUUGGCAAAGGUGUGUCAAAGAAGAAAAAGUGGACUGUGCAUUAUCCAAACAUUCCAUCAGCUAUUCGCCCAGUACCCCACGGAGAAGGACUGCCGGUUCCUGAUGCACCAGAAUCAUUCUCACUUGAGUCAGACGAGGAAGAGGAAGAGGAUGAAACUUCUGGUCCUGAACCAUCAAUGUCACAGGACCCACAUUUUCUCCCAUCCUCCUCCUCUGAACCACACCUCAUAACACAAGGUGAACUGGAUGACCUUGUCAGGGAUUUGGAACUACCCAAGAGUAAGGCAGAGAUUUUGGGUUCCAGACUACAGCAGUGGAAUCUCCUGGCAGGUGAUGUUAGGGUUUCCAUGUUCCGUGACCGUCAAAAGGAUCUUGUCCCAUUCUUCUUCAUGGAAGGUGAUCUUGUAGCCUGCAACAACAUCGAUGGUGUGAUGGCAGCCCUCAACAUCGUUCACGAUCCAGAUGAGUGGAGACUGUAAUUGAUUAAUCAAAGACGAGUCUUAAAGCUGUUNNNNNNNNNNNNNNNNNNNNNNNNNNNN